ACGAACGCUGGCGGCGUGCUUAACACAUGCAAGUCGAACGGAAAGGCCCUGCUUUUGUGGGGUGCUCGAGUGGCGAACGGGUGAGUAACACGUGAGUAACCUGCCCUUGACUUUGGGAUAACUUCAGGAAACUGGGGCUAAUACCGGAUAGGAGCUCCUGCUGCAUGGUGGGGGUUGGAAAGUUUCGGCGGUUGGGGAUGGACUCGCGGCUUAUCAGCUUGUUGGUGGGGUAGUGGCUUACCAAGGCUUUGACGGGUAACCAGCCUGAGAGGGUGACCGGCCACAUUGGGACUGACAUACAGCCCAAACUCCUACGGAAGGCAGCAGUGGGGAAUAUUGCACAAUGGGCGGAAGCCUGAUGCAGCAACGCCGCGUGCGGGAUGACGGCCUUCGAGUUGCAAACCGCUUUCGCCUGUGACGAAGCGUGAGUGACGGUAAUGGGUAAAGAAGCACCGGCUAACUACGUGCCAUCAGCCGCAGUGAUACGUAAGGUGCGAGCGUUGUCCGGAUUUAUUGGGCGUAAGGCGAUCGUAGGUGGUUGAUCUCGGUCGGAAGUGUAAUCUUGGGGCUUACACCCUGACCGAGCUUUCAAUACACGUUGACUUGAGGAAGGUACGGUAGAAUGUAAUUCAUGUUGGAGCGGUGGAAUGCGCAGAUAUCAGGAGGAACACCAGUGGCGAAGGCGUUUCUCUGGGCCUUUCCUGACGGUGAGGAGCGAAAGCGUGGGGAGCGAACAGGCUUAGAUACCCUGGUAGUACACGCUGUAAACGGUGGGUACUAGGUGCGGGGUCCAUUCCACGGGUUCCGUGCAGUAGCUAACGCUUUAAGUACCCCGCCUGGGGAGUACGGCCGCAAGGCUAAAACUCAAAGGAAUUGACGGGGCCCCGCACAAGCGGCGGAGCAUGCGGAUUAAUUCGAUGCAACGCGUAGAACCUUACCUGGGUUUGACAUGGAUCGGGAGUGCUCAGAGAUGGGUGUGCCUCUUUUGGGGUCGGUUCACAGGUGGUGCAUGGCUGUCGUCAGCUCGUGUCGUGAGAUGUUGGGUUAAGUCCCGCAACGAGCGCAACCCUUGUUCACUGUUGCCAGCACGUUAUGGUGGGGAUUCAGUGGAGACCGCCGGGGUCAAUUCGGAGGAAGGUGGGGAUGACGUCAAGUCAUCAUGCCCCUUAUGUCCAGGGCUUCACGCAUGCUACAAUGGCUGGUACAGAGAGUGGCGAGCCUGUGAGGGUGAGCGAAUCUCGGAAAGCCGGUCUCAGUUCGGAUUGGGGUCUGCAACUCGACCUCAUGAAGUCGGAGUCGUUAGUAAUCGCAGAUCAGCAACGCUGCGGUGAAUACGUUCCCGGGGCUUGUACACACCGCCCGUCAAGUCAUGAAAGUUGGUAACACCCGAAGCCGGUGGCCUACCCGUUGUGGGGGAGCCGUCGAAGGUGGGACUGGUGAUUAGGACUA
rnacentral:rRNA from 1 species